rnacentral:rRNA from 1 species
UGGGGAAUAUUGCACAAUGGGGGAAACCCUGAUGCAGCGACGCCGCGUGAGCGAAGAAGGUUUUCGAAUCGUAAAGCUCUGUCCUAUGGGAAGAUAAUGACGGUACCAUGGGAGGAAGCCCCGGCUAACUACGUGCCAGCAGCCGCGGUAAUACGUAGGGGGCGAGCGUUGUCCGGAAUUACUGGGCGUAAAGGGUUCGCAGGCGGCAUGGCAAGUCCGAUGUAAAAGGCGAAGGCUCAACCUUCGUAAGCAUCGGAAACUGUCAAGCUUGAGUGAAGGAGAGGCAAGUGGAAUUCCUAGUGUAGCGGUGGAAUGCGUAGAUAUUAGGAGGAAUACCGGUGGCGAAGGCGACUUGCUGGACUUCAACUGACGCUGAGGAACGAAAGCGUGGGUAGCAAACAGG